AGUAAUGCUUAGGAAUCUGCCUAUUAGUGGGGGACAACAUUCCGAAAGGAAUGCUAAUACCGCAUACGUCCUACGGGAGAAAGCAGGGGAUCUUCGGACCUUGCGCUAAUAGAUGAGCCUAAGUCGGAUUAGCUAGUUGGUGGGGUAAAGGCCUACCAAGGCGACGAUCUGUAGCGGGUCUGAGAGGAUGAUCCGCCACACUGGGACUGAGACACGGCCCAGACUCCUACGGGAGGCAGCAGUGGGGAAUAUUGGACAAUGGGGGGAACCCUGAUCCAGCCAUGCCGCGUGUGUGAAGAAGGCCUUAUGGUUGUAAAGCACUUUAAGCGAGGAGGAGGCUACUGAGACUAAUACUCUUGGAUAGUGGACGUUACUCGCAGAAUAAGCACCGGCUAACUCUGUGCCAGCAGCCGCGGUAAUACAGAGGGUGCGAGCGUUAAUCGGAUUUACUGGGCGUAAAGCGUGCGUAGGCGGCUUUUUAAGUCGGAUGUGAAAUCCCCGAGCUUAACUUGGGAAUUGCAUUCGAUACUGGGAAGCUAGAGUAUGGGAGAGGAUGGUAGAAUUCCAGGUGUAGC
rnacentral:rRNA from 1 species